UAUAGGAAACAGAACAAUGCAAACCUCAAGGGAUUCUGAGAUACAAAGAAUAACAGAACUUCCUCUGUGAUACAGGAAAAGCUUUUAAUGGAAAAGGCUCAAAUGGGAAAUGUAAUAAUAACACAUUCCUAAGGAAAUCUGCCACCUUAGACUGUGUGCCUGAUGAAGAGCAAGUGAACAGCUGAAGCAAAAAUUCAUUUAGAUAUCUUAUUUAAACAUCCCUCUGGAGAAAGAACAAAAAGCAAAUAAAAAAAAAAAAGCUACAACAAAAUUGUGGAAAUCAGAAGUGAUUGACUGGGUGAGCUCAACU